rnacentral:rRNA from 1 species
UACGUAGGGGGCAAGCGUUGUCCGGAUUUAUUGGGCGUAAAGAGCGUGUAGGCGGCCAUGUAGGUCCGUUGUGAAAACUCGAGGCUCAACCUCGAGACGCCGAUGGAAACCAUGUGGCUAGAGUCCGGAAGAGGAGAGUGGAAUUCCUGGUGUAGCGGUGAAAUGCGCAGAUAUCAGGAAGAACACCCGUGGCUAAGGCGGCUUUCUGGACAGAUACCGACGCUGAGGCACGAAAGCUAGGGGAGCGAACGGG